UGCGCUGACAUCACACUGAAACACCAGUUCCCGUACGAUCACCGAAGUUAAGCAACGUCGAACCUGGUCAGUACCUAGAUGGGUUACCGCUUGGGAAUACCAGGUGUUGUAAG